rnacentral:rRNA from 1 species
UACGGAGGGUGCAAGCGUUAUCCGGAUUCACUGGGUUUAAAGGGUGCGUAGGUGGUUAUGUAAGUCAGUGGUGAAAGCCCCGCGGCUCAACCGUGGAAUUGCCAUUGAAACUGCGUAACUUGAGUAUAGUUGAAGUGGGCGGAAUACAUCAUGUAGCGGUGAAAUGCUUAGAUAUGAUGUAGAACACCGAUUGCGAAGGCAGCUCACUAAACUGUAACUGACACUGAGGCACGAAAGCGUGGGGAGCGAACAGG